GGGCCGGUAGCUCAGUGGUUAGAGCAGGCGACUCAUAAUCGCUCGGUCGUGGGUUCGAUCCCCGCCCGGCCCACCA
rnacentral:tRNA from 2 species